CCAGAUGUAUAAACCUUUGUUUGGCAAUUUUACAGACAAGUAAUGUUCUUUGCAAGUUAAAAUAAGUAAAAAUAAAUAUGCCAUGCUCGACAAAAUGGACGAAUUUAACCAGAGCAAACAAAGUUAUUUUUGUUUUGACAAUGGUUGCACUUUCUUUGCUUGUCUUUGGAUUUUCAACGCCACUUUGGAUUUUGAUAGCUGUGGAAACUGACUUUAACAGUGAACUAUUUGACGUGGUCGAGUUUGAGUAUAUUGGUCUUUGGCAGUUGUGCUUCAAACAUUAUGGGUGUUUUGAUCUAUCAUUGCUGGCGAAAGAAUUUUCAAUAUAUACCAAGAUUAUCAACAAAAGAAAUAGAAAUGAAAUACUAGAUAUGAUAAUUAACAAGGUCAACAGAACUAAAAAUUUGUGGACAGUUUCAAGAUCAUUUGCAUCUGUGGCCGUCGUUUGUGCAAUAUCGUUUUCGAUUUGGAAACUGUAUUUCAUCUGGAUAAGGAAGAUGAACCAUGUUCGUGUCUACCAUCUUGUGUCAAUUCUUGAGAAUUUCAUCAUCGGUCCUGUUUUAUUGAUAUGCUUGGUAGCGUUUGGUGCUGCAAAACAUACCUUUGAUGAGCUGAAAAUGGAUAAGCUAUCGGAAUCGAAUAUUUUAAGAGUUAUAGACAUCAACAGAUAUUUUUCUUUCUGGAUGGUUUGUGUUGCAACAUUAUUGUACUUUUUUAAUGGGAUGUUAGCCAUUGUCAGUUUAUGCAGAGGCUUUGUGAUCAACACAAACCCCCAAUCGGGAAGACGAUCAGAAGAAGCAACCAGAAGUGGAAACGAGAAAUCCUUAGAAAUGAUUCCUGUGUAUAAUUUCUAAAUUAUUGCACUGAGAACAACUCUGAUAGAUUAACAGUUCCAUUUUUAGAUUAUAAUUGAUAACAGUCUUUGUUCGGUUUUUAGAUUAUAAUUGAUAACAGUCUUUGUUCCGUUUUUAGAUUAUAAUUAAUAACAGUCUUUGUUCGGUUUUUAGAUUAUAAUUGAUAACAGUCUUGUUCGAUAUCUUGUCAUUCUGUUGGCGUUUGUCGUACGUCUUUACCAUUUCUCAGUUAUACAAAUAUAAAAUUUUGAGGACGAAAGGUAAA